rnacentral:rRNA from 1 species
CCUACGGGGGGCAGCAGUGAGGAAUAUUGGUCAAUGGGCGCGAGCCUGAACCAGCCAAGUCGCGUGAGGGAGGACGGCCCUACGGGUUGUAAACCUCUUUUGCCGGGGAGCAACGGGCGUCACGUGUGGCGCCACUGAGAGUACCCGGAGAAAAAGCAUCGGCUAACUCCGUGCCAGCAGCCGCGGUAAUACGGAGGAUGCGAGCGUUAUCCGGAUUUAUUGGGUUUAAAGGGUGCGCAGGCGGGCUGUUAAGCCGGCGG